GUGCCAGCAGCCGCGGUAAUACCGGCAGCACGAGUGAUGACCGCUAUUAUUGGGCCUAAAGCGUCCGUAGCUGGCCACGCAAGUUCAUCGGGAAAUCUGCGCGCUUAACGCGCAGGCGUCCGGUGGAAACUGCAUGGCUUGGGACCGGAAGACCAGAGGGGUACGUCCGGGGUAGGAGUGAAAUCCCGUAAUCCUGGACGGACCACCGGUGGCGAAAGCGCCUCUGGAAGACGGAUCCGACGGUGAGGGACGAAAGCUCGGGUCACGAACCGGAUUAGAUACCCGCGUAGUCC
rnacentral:rRNA from 1 species